UUGAAAAAUAGUUUGAUUUGGCAGAGUGCUGGAACUCGAGUAGUGACUCAGUCUCACUCGCACAGUACUACGGUACAUAAUAUAAUAGACGCAAACUUUUGGAUUACUUCUAACAAGUCAACAAUGGAUUCUUCCGUAGCAAGAUAGUUCUAUAAAGCUUUUGUAUCUCGCAUAGCCGGUGACAGGUUUUCCUCUCAGACCUGCUAUUACUUCAGACAAGUCAACAAUGGAUUCUUCUGCACCAAGAUAGUUCUAUAAAGCUUUCAUAUCUCGGAUAACUGGUGACUCAGGUUUUCCUCUCUGACCUGCCAUAAGUUGAUACUUUCAUCUUGUUGAAGAUAAGUACCACACGAAGUAGACAGUGUUUCCUCUCCUGUCAGAUGAUGUUACUUCCCACAUGGGAUGUUUGGCGUUGAAGUCACCUACUAAUAGUCUAUCAAACUACCAGUGGCACUGAAGUAAAAGCUAUAUAAUGGAGAGAUCAGUUUUUGAGGAAGGACAGUCGUUCAUACACUGAAGAUCCACCACACAAGAUCAUAGAACCUUCUGAAUUGGCAAGUCAUCAAUGAAGGAAGAGUCUUACUAAAUCAGUACAAUAUUUAGCUUUCUUGUGAGAAUUUUAUGAUUCGAGGUAUGGCAAAUAAUGCAUGGUGAUAUUUAAAGGGCAUAUGAUACAGCCUGGGAUACUGUACACUACUUUUAAAAUGCCAUGUAAAAUGGAUACAAGAAUCCAUCUGCCCUUAUUUAUAUAAAAAUUGUGGAGGUUGCACAUUUUAAGUAAAUAUACCAUAUAUGCGGGCAUUUAGGGCGACCUUUUAGCCUUUAACAAUCUUCCCCAAAAGGGGGGGUUAAUCUUAAUUUGAUAAGCUAACCUCUGAAGUGUCAGUAGUUGUGUCAUAGUUAACUACUGUCACAAUUAUAUAGACAAUGUAAAUAAAACAUCUGUAAUAAUGGUUAAAACCUUGGGUAAUUCAAGUGAAUCACUAGUGACACCAUUGAUAGUGCAAACAAAUCAACUGUAAUUACCGUAAAUAAUUACCAUAAUUAGAUGUUACGAUGAGGAAGCUCUCACGUUGUUACAGGUAUAUGAUCUCUAGCCGUAUUCUAAAAACCAAAAAGCUAUACAAACCUAAAUAUUCUCUGGAGAAACGUUAUCCUUUGCAAACGUUAAACUUAUUGCAGAAUAUAAACAUUGGAGCCAUACGCCAAUUGCAUUUUAUAUUGUUUACACUCAAAAUCUCAGCUGAUUGAGUACUAGGUAGCAAUAUCUGCAUUGCCAUUUGCUGUUAGAGAUGUAAUUUGGAGAUACUUAUUAAUUUGGGUUUAAAUAUUAAGUGUAAUUUCGCCAGUUCUGGAUAUCACUUUUGCCUGCUCCGUUAUUCAUUUCAUUUAGUCUCGGCUAUAACCUGCAGCUUCAGUUUACUGGGAAUCUUUCUUCAGAUCUCCACUGCGGGAAGAAUGAGUAAAAUUGUAUUUUAUUUUUACCUGUGGAAGCCAACAUUGAGAAUCGGCCAGUUUUAACUUGACAACUUUAAGCAACUCGAUAGUUACAGCAAAAUAAAUGCUCGAUAGUUACAGCAAAUGACGUCGGCAAUCGGCUGUUAGAGAGGAAGAGAGACAUUAUUUCCCUAGUUAGGUUGUUAUACUGACAGAUAUCCAUUAGCAAAUCUCAAAUAACAUGUUGUAUUUAGAAUACUAAUGAUGAUUUUGAUAAAACUUUUUUUACUUUAUCUAACCAAUCAUAUUGCAUGUAUUAUUACCAUAUUAUUGCAUUAUAAUAUGAACAAAGCGAUAUGCCAUUUGCAUUCUGAUUUUUUUACAUACGGUAUUCUGAUUUUUUUACAUGAUUAAAAUAAUCAGCUAAUUUUGUUUUAUAGAUAUCAUCACUGUCUUUAGUUGCCAAAUGGAACUUAACUCCUUAACUCAGUGAUACGUUUCUUUCAUAAAUUAUCAAGGGAUGCAUUUCUUUCGUAAAUUAUCAAAGCAGUUUAAAAAUUGCAGGUACUUUAUAAACGUGGUACAUAAAAUCAAGUACAUGUGUGCUUUUGCCUCCAAAACAUUUUGCAGUAUGCUCAUUAUUCAUAGUUCCCAGUCAUGCUUGACUUACGGGACUUUUUUUUUUUUUUUUUUCUUUUUUUUUUUUUUACUAAAGGCCAGUAUUUCCCGAGUAGUAUUUUAUAAUCAAACAAGGAUUCUGUGAUACCGAUAGUUUCCCAGUUAUCCUCAAUAUCCGGAUUCUUUCUAAUUUUAAAGAAAUGCAUUCAUGCGGACCUACUUCCACCCAGUACUAUUCCACUGAUAGUGACGUCACAAGCAUCAAGCAUUUGUUGUGGUGUACCGUUUAUUUUAUCCAAAGGAACAAUACAAAAGUAUUUUUUUCUUAAGGGAUUUGCCAAACAUUUUAAAAUCUUGAAGAUACUGAUUAUACACAUUUUUAGUAUGAUAAGUCCAACAAUUAUUGUUUUGUGUUUAUGUAACUAAUUUACAUCAGCUGAUUGAUUUAUUUAGUUUAAUAAAUUGUGGGUCGUCUUAUAUAGCGACACAUCUCUAAACCUACAUUUUUACAUUUACCCGAAGAUGGAGAGGUCAUCUUAGUUGCCAAGUUGCCUUAUAAGCUAGCAUAUACGGUAUAUGUAAUAUAAAUGUAAAAAAAAAUGCUCGUAUUACAUACUGUAACAAAGCAUUUUAUUUCAGUCACCAAAUUUCUGUUAUUGGAUAUGCAUUGAAGUAUUAUGACAGCGACUACUAGUACAGUACACUGA